CGAAGGGUGCAAGCGUUGUUCGGAAUAACUGGGCGUAAAGGGCGCGUAGGCGGGUUGGUAAGUCACAUGUGAAAUCCCCGGGCUUAACCCGGGACGUGCAUUUGAAACUGCUGAUCUUGAAUGCUUGAGAGGGUGGUGGAAUUCCUAGUGUAGAAGUGAAAUUCGUAGAUAUUAGGAGGAACACCUGAGGCGAAGGCGGCCACCUGGCAAGACAUUGACGCUAAGGCGCGAAAGUGCGGGGAGCAAACAGGAUUAGAUACCCUGGUAGUCCGCACCAUAAACGAUGGAUACUAGAUGUUUGGAGAAUUAACCCUCUGAGUAUCAACGCACACGCAUUAAGUAUCCCGCCUGGGGAGUACGGCCGCAAGGCUG
rnacentral:rRNA from 1 species